rnacentral:lncRNA from 1 species
AUGUUGUGCGGGUGUGUGGCGCACAUCUGCAUGUUGUGCCUUGGCUUGUGUGCAGGUGGCAGGGCAUCUGUGUGUGUUUCUGUCCAUGCCUGUGUGGGCGUGCGUGCAUGGAUCUGUGGGUGUCUUGGUGCAUGUGCAUUGUCUGUCCUCCAACCCCCCUUUUCUGUGUGUGUGAGCCACUGCGUUUGUACCUGUGCGUGUGCAGCUGCCUCACCCCUUAUAUGCCUGUAUCUCUGCUCUAGUGUAACUGUUUUUUCUGUGAGUGUGAGGGCGUGUGCCUCACAGCCUGUGCCCAUCUGUGCCCAUGUAUGCGCCGGCGUGUGCGCCUCCACAGUGUGGGCUCCCCUGCGUGUGCCUGUGUGUGCUUUCGCCCGCAAGGUCCCGCAGUGUUUCUUUGGAACAGACACAUUGCCCCCUAGCGCUCAGACGAAUUCAAAGUCCCCGCAGGCGCAGAGCGGGGAGCAGCAGGAGCCUCAGGGCCCUCCACCCACCAGGCUUUCUCCAUCCUCCUCCCUCUCCAGAUCCCCCUCCCGGGUCGCUGAGUGUGCUGGCAACGACCAGAGGAGGCUCCCUGGGCAAGGGAAGGAGGAGACACAGCUGGAUGGGGCCCCGGAGCUGGACAGGGAUGUUUUAAGCUGGCGACAAGUGGGGAACUGUCUGGGAUGGCCCCCAGGGAGCUGCCCCGAAUACUGGCCACUGAUGUGGACAGCCUGGCACAGCUCAGCUAGUCCAGGACCCCCAGCCUGCAGCCCCACCAGCGAACUCUCACUCUAUAGAAACACAAAGCAACCCACACCAAAUGCCCUUCACCCAGGAGACACACAGCCUUGUGCCUGCCCCAUAGGCCCCCAACACCAGCACACACACAUGUACACACACACCCCUCCCCAUAGUGGACGAGGCUGCCCACUGGCUUCAGGACAUGGAAGUCUCCUUCUGUGUCAGGCUUGGUGCUUUGUGCGUUAUACCCGUGGUCAUCCUCACAGCAACCCCAUGAGGUGGGGACUCAGAACCCAUUCUACAGAUGAGGAGAUAGAGGCUCACACCAGUCAAGGGACUUUCCCAAAGUUGAGCAGUGGCAGAGCUGAGAUUCGAAUCUCCCUGACGCUGAAGCCUGGCUCUUAA